GGAAACUCAAAUGAUCCUAUCUUUGCACAAUGUGAUGUAAAGUGAGAGACCCACUUCAGCUUUUGCCUUCUACGCACCGUUUCACUAAUUGUAACAAAAGGGCUUAAGCUCUUCUUUAUUCAAUGGCCCAAUUGUUUCUGCAGUGGUGGCUCAAUAUAUUUUCUUCUUCAAAUCUAACCGAGAACCCCCAAAAGCAAGUGUCUUCUGCCAGCUCCCUCAAAAUGCGCAUUAUGAUUCAUUUGUGCAGCCCAUUCUUCCAAAUCAAUGCCGGCCCAGAUUG
rnacentral:lncRNA from 1 species